rnacentral:rRNA from 1 species
UACAGAGGGUGCGAGCGUUGUCCGGAAUCACUGGGCGUAAAGGGCGCGUAGGUGGCGCUGCAAGUCGGUGGUGAAAGCUCGCCGCUUAACGGCGAGUCGGCCAUCGAAACUGCAGGGCUCGAGCACUGUAGGGGCUAAUGGAAUUCCGGGUGUAGCGGUGGAAUGCGUAGAGAUCCGGAAGAACACCAAUGGCGAAGCAGCUCUCUGGGACGGUACUGACGCUGAGACGCGAAAGCGUGGGAGCGAACAGG